rnacentral:pre_miRNA from 1 species
GAUUUCAACUAAAAAGUCAUCAACAAUAAAGUUGUAUAACUCAUCAAUAUCUAUAACUUUUAUUUUGGUCAUUUCUUCAUCCGACAAAGUAAUAGUAACAUUAUUUAUAAAGUUUAUAUAUCUCUCUUAUAGUUUAUAAACUAUAUAAGAGAUAUGUACAUUUUGUGAAUAAUGUUACAAAUCACUUUGUUGGAUGAAAAAAUGACCCAAAUAAAAGUUAUAGAUCUUGAUGAGUUAUACCACUUUGUUGUUGAUAACUUUUUCAGUUGAAAUC